rnacentral:rRNA from 1 species
AUGGAAAAUAGAAAUACUUUUUCUUGGGUAAAGGAACAGAUAACUCGAUCGAUUUCUACAUCAAUCAUGAUAUACGUAAUAUCUCGGACAUAUAUUUCAAAUGCAUAUCCCAUUUUUGCGCAGCAGCCCGUCGAUACUGAAGUUCCCCAAGAUGUGCUUCCUGAUACUGUAUUUGAAGUAGUUCUUCGAAUUCCUUAUGAUAUGCAAUUGAAACAAUUUGCCCGAGGAUUCGAAUUAGCGCCGCCCGAUCGUAUUUCCCCUGAGUUAAAAGAAAAGAUAGGAAAUCUUGCUUUUCAGAGUUAUCGUCCCGAUAAGAAAACAUUCUUGUGA